rnacentral:rRNA from 1 species
UACGAAGGGUGCAAGCGUUACUCGGAAUUACUGGGCGUAAAGCGUGCGUGAGCGGUUUGUUAAGUCCGUUGUGAAAGCCCUGGGCUCAACCUGGGAAUUGCAGUGGAUACUGGCGAGCUAGAGUGCGGUAGAGGAUGGUGGAAUUCCCGGUGUAGCGGUGAAAUGCGUAGAGAUCGGGAGGAACACCCGUGGCGAAGGCGGCCAUCUGGACCAGCACUGACGCUGAGGCACGAAAAGCGUGGGGGAGCAAACAGGG